UACGAAGGGGGCUAGCGUUGUUCGGAUUUACUGGGCGUAAAGCGCACGUAGGCGGAUUGUUAAGUCAGGGGUGAAAUCCUGGAGCUCAACUCCAGAACUGCCUUCGAUACUGAGAGUCUUGAGUCCGGGAGAGGUGAGUGGAACUGCGAGUGUAGAGGUGAAAUUCGUAGAUAUUCGCAAGAACACCAGUGGCGAAGGCGGCUCACUGGCCCGGUACUGACGCUGAGGUGCGAAAGCGUGGGGAGCAAACAGG
rnacentral:rRNA from 1 species